rnacentral:rRNA from 1 species
GCUUGGCUUCUUUGCUGACGAGUGGCGGACGGGUGAGUAAUGUCUGGGAAACUGCCUGAUGGAGGGGGAUAACUACUGGAAACGGUAGCUAAUACCGCAUAACGUCGCAAGACCAAAGAGGGGGACCUUCGGGCCUCUUGCCAUCGGAUGUGCCCAGAUGGGAUUAGCUAGUAGGUGGGGUAACGGCUCACCUAGGCGACGAUCCCUAGCUGGUCUGAGAGGAUGACCAGCCACACUGGAACUGAGACACGGUCCAGACUCCUACGGGAGGCAGCAGUGGGGAAUAUUGCACAAUGGGCGCAAGCCUGAUGCAGCCAUGCCGCGUGUAUGAAGAAGGCCUUCGGGUUGUAAAGUACUUUCAGCGGGGAGGAAGGGAGUAAAGUUAAUACCUUUGCUCAUUGACGUUACCCGCAGAAGAAGCACCGGCUAACUCCGUGCCAGCAGCCGCGGUAAUACGGAGGGUGCAAGCGUUAAUCGGAAUUACUGGGCGUAAAGCGCACGCAGGCGGUUUGUUAAGUCAGAUGUGAAAUCCCCCGGG